rnacentral:tRNA from 1 species
GUAUUUGUAGCUCAGAGGAUAGAGCGACCGCCUCCUAAGCGGUAGGUCGGGGGUUCGACUCCCCCCAAGUACA